AGUGAACGCUGGCGGUAGGCCUAACACAUGCAAGUCGAACGGCAGCACAGUAAGAGCUUGCUCUUACGGGUGGCGAGUGGCGGACGGGUGAGGAAUACAUCGGAAUCUACUUUUUCGUGGGGGAUAACGUCGGGAAACUUCCGCUAAUACCGCAUACGACCUACGGGUGAAAGCAGGGGAUCUUCGGACCUUGCGCGACUGAAUGAGCCGAGGUCGGAUUAGCGAGUUGGCGGGGUAAAGGCCCACUAAGGCGACGAUCCGUAGCUGGUCUGAGAGGAGGAACAGCGACACUGGGACUGAGACGCGGUCCAGACUCCGACGGGAGGCAGAGGUUGCGAAGAUUGGACGAUGGGCGGAAGCCUGAACCAGCCAUGCCACGUUGGUGAAGAAGGCCUUCGGGUUGUAAAACCCUUUUGUGGGGAAAGAAAAGCAGCAGGUGAAAACCCCGCAGUUCUGACGGUACCCAAAGAAGAAGCACCGGCUAACUUCGUG
rnacentral:rRNA from 1 species